ACUCAAAUGAAUUGACGGGGGCCCGCACAAGCGGUGGAGCAUGUGGUUCAAUUCGACGCAACGCGAAGAACCUUACCCAGGCUCGAACGGCGCGUGGUAGGACCGGGAAACCGGAACGACGCUACUUGUAGCGAGCGCGUCGAGGUGCUGCAUGGCUGUCGUCAGCUCGUGCCGUGAGGUGUUGGGUUAAGUCCCGCAACGAGCGCAACCCUCGCCCCUAGUUGCUCACUCCGGUUUACCGGAAAGCACUCUAGGGGGACCGCUAGCGAUAAGCUGGAGGAAGGUGGGGACGACGUCAAGUCAUCAUGGCCUUUAUGUCUGGGGCCACACACGUGCUACAAUGGACGGGACAAAGGGCUGCGAAAGGGCAACCUGGAGCCAAUCCCGUAAACCCGUUCUCAGUUCGGAUUGGCGUCUGCAACUCGACGCCAUGAAGCUGGAAUCGCUAGUAAUCGCGGAUCAGCACGCCGCGGUGAAUACGUUCCCGGGCCUUGUACACACCGCCCGU
rnacentral:rRNA from 1 species